AUUAGCUUGUUGGUGGGGUAACGGCCUACCAAGGCGACGAUGGUUAGCUGGUCUGAGAGGAUGAUCAGCCACACUGGGACUGGAACACGGCCCAGACUCCUACGGGAGGCAGCAGUGGGGAAUAUUGCGCAAUGGGCGAAAGCCUGACGCAGCAACGCCGCGUGGGUGAAGAAGGCCUGAGGGUUGUAAAGCACUUUCAAUUGUGAAGAAAAGUUAACGGUUAAUAACCGUUGACCUUGACGUUAACUUUAGAAGAAGCACCGGCUAACUCCGUGCCAGCAGCCGCGGUAAUACGGAGGGUGCAAGCGUUAAUCGGAAUUACUGGGCGUAAAGCGUGCGUAGGCGGUUUAUCAAGUCAGAUGUGAAAUCCCCGGGCUUAACCUGGGAACUGCAUUUGAAACUGGUCAACUAGAGUAUGGUAGAGGAAAGUGGAAUUUCUGGUGUAGCGGUGAGAUGCGUAGAUAUCAGAAGGAACAUCAGUGGCGAAGGCAGCUUUCUGGCCCAAUACUGACGCUGAGGUACGAGAGCGUGGGUAGCAAACAGGAAUAUAUACCCUGGUAGUCCACGCCGUAAACGAUGAUAACUAGUCGGUUGGGGGCUAUUUACCUCUUUUAGGUGACGAAGCUGACGCGAUUGAAGUUAUCCCGCCGUGGAGGUACG
rnacentral:rRNA from 1 species